rnacentral:lncRNA from 1 species
UAUGCCUGGCAAAGCUGUUUCUAACCCAUGCCUUUCUUGAGUUCCAAAUCUAUAAUGCAAAACCAUGCUGGGUAUUAAGAUCUCCUGCUUUGAAGAGGAAUGAGAAGGUACCUUUGACCGGAGCGUGACCUUGCUGGAGGUGUGUGGGAGCUGGCCUGAGGGCUUCGGGCUUCGGCACAUGUCCUCCAUGGAGCACACAGAGGAGGGCCUCCGGGAGCGGCUGGCUGAUGCCAUGGCUGAGUCACCAAGCCGGGACGUCGUGGGAUCAGGAACAGAGCUUCAGCGAGAGGGAAGCAUCGAGACUCUGAGUAAUAGCUCAGGCUCCACCAGCGGCAGCAUACCAAGAAACUUUGAUGGCUACCGAUCUCCGCUCCCCACCAACGAGAGCCAGCCCCUCAGCGUCUUCCCCACCGGCUUCCCCCACUCAGCAGAAUGCCAGUUCAUGGUCCUGCGAUCCUAGACACCUGCACCCCUAUCUUCUGCUGCGCAUGUCCAUGCACACGCAGGUUCAAGACGCGCACUUCACUUUUGCAGUCCCCCGCCUCCUAAGUGGACAACCUCGACCCGCGAAACCGCGGCCCAGAGCAGUGAGUAGUCGGCAGGUCCCAGGGUUAUGGGUACCCCAAACUCUGGGAAGUCGCCCAAAGUGGGGCAGGGAUUCGCGGCCUGGUUUCCCCCGCUUGUUCAGGACCUCUCAGGUGCAGAGCGACGCCCCUGAGAGCCGAGUCUAUCCCGGCCCAUCGCAGCCAGACUGGCCCUCGCCUUGCAUCGUCCUGGGAGAAGGCGGCCAGACCCAACUGGAAGAAGUGGUCCGGCCAGUCCCGGCCCAAGACCGCGGCCAGGAGGGGGUCGGGCCGCCCACCCAAGCCCAUUGGUCCGACCCUGCGCGGUGUAAUUGGGGCGGGGGGGAGGCGACCGGCGGGCGGCGGCUCCAGAGAAACUGCGCGCCUGUCAGCCACAAUUUGUGUAAGAGGACGGGACAGGCCAGGCCACUGCGGGCUGGGGUCACCGAGGCCGCGGCCCACACCCCGGCCAGACUCCGGACCGCGGGGGAGCCCCGCCGGGCCGCUAAACCGGGCUGGCUGGCGCCAAGACUCUGGGAGGCGCGGGUCCAGCAGAGAAGCCGGGUAGGAAGCAGCUCUGUCGCGGGCGUGUCCCCCCCCCCACGUCGAGACGCGCCCAGUGGCACCCACAGCUGGUCACCCACACAGGGCCACUCGAGUCACCGAGCUCAGCCUUGGCACGUGCAUUGCCGCCGGAAGCUCAGGGCCAGGCUCAGGCCGGCGCCGGGUCACUCGCAGGCACGUCCGUCCCCUCGGCCACACGCGCUGAGCGCACCCGCCAGCCACGCCACGCGGGCUCACGCAAACCCACACCCGUCACACAGCGGGGACACCAGCGGGGACGCUGCCGCUCUGAGGAUCAACCCUGUGGAGGGCCCAGCAGUGUCCCUGGCCCCUGCAAGAGGUUACAGAGCCGAAGGACAGACGGGCAGGCUCGGGACUGCAGCCCCGUCCCGCGCGGGCUGUCCCCUCCUGACAGGGACCACGCGCGACGGGCCCAGCCGGAGGCCGCUCCGACGCCCGCGCCCGACCGCCCCAGAGGGAGGGGCCGCCCGCGCGUCCCCCGCCCGUCUGCGGGGCCCGGGCGAUGCGAAGUGACAGGGGCCGGAGCUUUGUUGUGGAGCCUCGGCCGCCUGGCGCCAGCCGCCCCCGCCCGUGUCUUCCCCCUCCAGCCCCGGGCGGCCCGCGAGGCGCCCCCCGGGGCCUCUUAAAGAGACACGCACACUCGGCCCCGGGGACUCCCCCGGGGCGUCAGUUCCUG